GCAGCUUACAUCCAUGGCCCAUCUAAGAAGAACCCAUUGUUUUGUCUGGCUCGUGACUAUGGCCUCCUGGAUCCACAAGCCCUCAAACCAGAGAACCAGGCCAAGCAUUUUUAUGAAUAUCCCCUCCCGGUUUCCAACUGGUUCAGUAGUUCAGGUCAAAAGCUGAGUGCUGAAUGCAUGAAUGAUGCACUGGAGAUGUUUUAUGAGCUUUUGGCAGAAUCCUAUUCUCAUAAGAAUGACAAAGCAGGUGCCAGUUUUGGACAUUUCAUACGAUCACAGGCACAGAAAAAGACUGCAAAGAAGUGGAAAAAAAAGGAUGAAACCACGCGUCAGCUGCUGCUGUCUGCCAUCAGCACCAUGUUAAAGUUUGAGUGUUGUGCAA